rnacentral:rRNA from 1 species
GACGAACGCUGGCGGCGUGGAUUAGGCAUGCAAGUCGAACGGUAGGAUCCUUUCGGGGAUCUGAGAGUGGCGAACGGGUGAGUAACACGUAGGUUAUCUACCCUCAAGACGGGGACAACCCAGGGAAACUUGGGCUAAUACCGGAUGUGAGCAACUUUUAGUUGUUUGAAAGGUGGCGUAAGCUGUCGCUUGGGGAUGAGCCUGCGUCCUAUUAGUUAGUUGGUGAGGUAACGGCUCACCUAGGCAAUGAUAGGUAGGCGGCCUUAACGGGUGGUCGCCCACACUGGGAUUGAGAUACGGCCCAGACUCCUACGGGAGGCAGCAGUCGAGAAUAGUCUACAAUGGUCGGAAGACUGAUAGUGCGACGCCGCGUGAACGAUGAAUCCCUUCGGGGUGUAAAGUUCUUUUAUAUGUGAGCAGUGCUUCUUAUAUUAACAGUAUGGGGAGAGAGAUAUUAGCAUAUGAAUAAGCAACGGCUAACUCCGUGCCAGCAGCCGCGGUAAU